GCCUCUCUUAUGGGAGGGAGUCCUGCUGUUUGCACUCAACAGCGCCGCAGGAGUCCACUUUUAUUCUUAACAGUUUCAAUCUAACUUUGAGGGCUCCUCCCUCUGGCCUCCCUCUGAGGCUAUCUGGGCAUUUAGGUAGUUUCCAAUUCUCAGUGGAAAUUAACCCCCAGGACAUCCAUCAUUAAACAUGAAGGUUUUCCCCACUUUCCUGAAAGUUACUGAGGACAAUUCUCAGAAGUGGAAAUCAUGGGGCCCAAAGAACUGAGAGUUCUCUUUGAAGCUAUCAUCAAAACUAUCUUCUAAAAGGCCUGUCCAGAGCCCAGCAGUACAACAUGGCCACCAUUAGCCAUCCCACUGUGGGGAAAAUGUGUGUGUGUGUGUGUGUGUGUGGUGCAGAAGCCAAAGGUCUUGCUGACCUGGCACUGGAACCCAAUAAAUAACCUAGACUCACUAA
ensembl:lincRNA Gm38150 predicted gene, 38150